UACAGAGGUCUCAAGCGUUGUUCGGAUUCAUUGGGCGUAAAGGGUGCGUAGGUGGCGCGCUAAGUCAGGUGUGAAAUUUCGGAGCUCAACUCCGAAACUGCAUUUGAUACUGCUGGGCUUGAGCACUGUAGAGGCAGGCGGAAUUCCGGGUGUAGCGGUGGAAUGCGUAGAGAUCCGGAGGAACACCAGUGGCGAAGGCGGCCGCCUGGACCUGACCUGACGCUGAGGCGCGAAGGCGUGGGGAGCGAACGGG
rnacentral:rRNA from 1 species